rnacentral:tRNA from 1 species
GAGGGUAUGACUCAAGUGGUAGAGCAUGUGCUUAGCAUGCACGAGGUCCUGGGUUCAAUCCCCAGUACCUCCU